UUCUAUGGCCAUACCACCCUGAAUGUGUCUGUUCUUUUUCUGAUCUCACAAGCUCAGCAGGCUUAGGCCUGGUUAGUACUUGGAUGAGAGACUAUCAUUUAGAGACACUAAAGAAU
rnacentral:rRNA from 1 species